GUGGGGAAUCUUGCGCAAUGGGCGAAAGCCUGACGCAGCCAUGCCGCGUGAAUGAUGAAGGUCUUAGGAUUGUAAAAUUCUUUCACCGGGGACGAUAAUGACGGUACCCGGAGAAGAAGCUCCGGCUAACUUCGUGCCAGCAGCCGCGGUAAUACGAAGGGGGCUAGCGUUGCUCGGAAUUACUGGGCGUAAAGGGCGCGUAGGCGGACAGCUUAGUCAGAGGUGAAAGCCCAGGGCUCAACCUUGGAAUUGCCUUUGAUACUGGCUGUCUUGAGUUUGGGAGAGGUGAGUGGAACUCCGAGUGUAGAGGUGAAAUGCGUAGAUAUUCGGAAGAACACCAGUGGCGAAGGCGACUCACUGGCCCAAUACUGACGCUGAGGCGCGAAAGCGUGGGGAGCAAACAGGAUUAGAAACCCGGGUAGUCC
rnacentral:rRNA from 1 species